ensembl:lncRNA
UUGCUGCAAAUGGUAUAAUUUUGUUCUUUUUUAUGGCUAACAUUCAAUUGUAUAUAUGUACCAUAUCUUCUUAAUUCAUUCAUUUGUCAAUGGGCACUCAGGUUGUUUCCAUGUCUUGGCUAUGUGAAUAGUGCUGCAGUGAACAUAUGAGUGCAUGUAUCUUUUUGAAUUAUAGUUUUGUUCGGAUAUAUGCCCAGGAAUAAAUUAAUACAUCCACUAUGGGAAACAGUAGGGAGGUUCCUCAGAAAACUAAAUGAUAACUAUAAAACCAGGUAUCUCAGGUUAAUGAAUUUAGCUCUUUUCAACUUCUGAGAAGAUGCAAGUAUCUGGGCUCAUUGAGAUCACUCCUUUGAUAUGCAUCUUAAUUACCUAGGGUCAAUAUCCUGCUUUUCUCCAUCCUGAAUCCCCUCAGGGUACACAGUUAGGGAUGGCAGCAGUGGCCACAGGUUUAGUGGCAGGCAGCCUGUUUGUCUUCAUACUGAGUUCCUUCAGGGGUCAAUGUGGAGGGUGGCUGUAGUGGCUGAUGGCUUGAUGGCUGCAAUAGCCUUUGUUUGCUAAUAAAGCAGUAAACAUUUCAUCCACAUUGCUCACUUUGAUUCUGCCACACCAGCCUCUUUGUUGUUAUUCACACAUCUUACCACACACCUGCUAUUCCCACUGUCUACACAUUGUUCCCCAGACAAGGGCCUGGAUCAUCAUGUCACCUUUUUCAGGCUAUUAAGUAAGUGCUACUUUCUCAGUGGGGCCUUCUUGGACUGCUUUAUUAAAAAUAUUACCUUGACACAAGCCACUGAGUACUUUCUCAUCUCUCAUCUCUCUCUCUCUUUCUAAUAGUACUCAUCACCAUCUACCAUAAUAGAUAUUUUACUCAUUCAUCUUCUUCCACUGAAAUGUAAGUUCCAAAAGGGAUGGGAUUUGUUUACCAUUGUUUACUGAUAGACUGCCAGUACUUACAUUAGUGUCUAGUAUGCAGUCAGGGCUCAAUAAGUAUUGGUUGAAUAAAUGAAUAUAAGGCAUAGUAUGGAAUAAACAUCUCAAGUAGCAGUUCUACAACAAGUCCCGGUCCUUGUUCAACUUCUUCCACACCUAUCCCUCUCCUUCUAAUUCUUGUGAUGAAAAAACAGUAUGGAGGUUCCUCAAAAAACUAAAAAUAGAAUUACUGUUUGAUCCAGCAAUCCCUCUCUUGGGCAUCUAUCCAGAGAAAACCUUAAUUCAAAAAGAUACAUGCACCCCAAUGUUCACUGCAGCAUUAUUUAUAAUAACUAAGACAUGGAAACAACCUAAAUGUCCAUCAACAAAGGGAUGUAUAAAGAAGAUGUACAUAUAUACAACAGCACAUUACACAGUCAUAAAAAGAAUGAAAUAAUGCCAUUGGCAGCAACAUGGUGGACCUAGAGAUUAUCACACAAAGUCAGUCAGACAGUGAAAGACAAACAUCACAUGAUAUCAUUUGUAUGUGGAAUCUAAAAAAAGGAUACAAAUGAACUUAUUUGCAGAAUUAAACAGACUUUACAGACUUUCAAAAACUUAUGGUUACCAAAGGGGACAGGUUGGGAGGGGAUGGACUGGGAGUUUGGGAUUGGCAUGUGCACACUGAGGUAUAUGGAAUGACUGGCCAAUGGGAACCUGUGUAUAGCACAAAGAACUGUACUCAAUAUUUUGUGAUGAUCUUUGUGGGGAAAGAAUCUGAAUGAGAAUGAAUGCAUGUACAGUAUAACUGAAUCAUCUGUUGUACAGCAGAUAUUAUCACAUUAUAAAUCAACUAUACUUCAAUAAGAC